GGGCUUGACAUCCCACGAACCUGCCUGAAAGGGCGGGGUGCCCGCAAGGGAGCGUGGAGACAGGUGGUGCACGGCUGUCGUCAGCUCGUGUCGUGAGAUGUAGGGUUAAGUCCCGCAACGAGCGCAACCCUCACCCCUAGUUGCCACCGGGUAAAGCCGAGCACUCGAGGGGAACUGCCAGCGUCAAGCUGGAGGAAGGCGGGGAUGACGUCAAGUCAUCAUGCCCCUUACGCCCUGGGCUACACACGUGCUACAAUGGCCGGUACAAAGGGACGCGAGACCGCAAGGUGGAGCUAAUCCCAAAAAACCAGUCUAAGUUCAGAUUGCAGUCUGCAACUCGACUGCAUGAAGGAGGAAUCGCUAGUAAUCGCGCAUCAGCACGGCGCGGUGAAUACGUUCCCGGGCCUUGUACACACCGCCCGUCACACCACGAAAGCUGUCUGUACUCGAAGUCGCUGAG
rnacentral:rRNA from 1 species